GAAUUGCGAAAUGUGAUGUGUAUUGCAGUGAAUCAUCAAUUCUUGAACGCACAUGGCACCCCUUUUAGGGGUAUGCUUGUAUGAGGGUGUUUAAUAUGAAAUUGCUUUGGCUUUUUUUAAAUAAAUGGUUUUUCAAAUUGUUACUAAUAGACGAAAGAAUCAGUGCAACAAGCUGUGUUGAAUCUUUCAUUAAAUCUUUUAGUUAACUACUUUAACUAUUUGCACCUCAUAUCAAGCAAGACUACCCGCUGAACUUAA
rnacentral:misc_RNA from 1 species